UACGUAGGGUGCGAGCGUUAAUCGGAAUUACUGGGCGUAAAGCGUGCGCAGGCGGUUCGUUGUGUCGGCGGUGAAAGCCCCGGGCUCAACCUGGGAAUGGCCGUUGAAACUGGCGAACUGGAGUGUGGCAGAGGGGGGUGGAAUUCCGCGUGUAGCAGUGAAAUGCGUAGAGAUGCGGAGGAACACCGAUGGCGAAGGCAGCCCCCUGGGCCGUUGCUGACGCUGAGGCGCGACAGCGUGGGGAGCAAACAGG
rnacentral:rRNA from 1 species